rnacentral:rRNA from 1 species
CCUACGGGAGGCAGCAGUGAGGAAUAUUGGUCAAUGGGCGGGAGUCUGAACCAGCCAAGUCGCGUGAAGGAAAAAGGUACUUAGUAUUGUAAACUUCUUUUGUCGGGGAACAAAGGCGGAGACGCGUCUCCGGAUGCGUGUACCCGAAGAAAAAGCAUCGGCUAACUCCGUGCCAGCAGCCGCGGUAAUACGGAGGAUGCGAGCGUUAUCCGGAUUUAUUGGGUUUAAAGGGUGCGUAGGCGGGCUGUUAAGGCAGCGGUCAAAUGUUGGGGCUCAACCCCGGAUUGCCGUUGAAAAUGGCGGCCUCGAGUGGGCGUGAGGUAGGCGGAAUGCGUGGUGUAGCGGUGAAAUGCAUAGAUAUCACGCAGAACUCCGAUUGCGAAGGCAGCAUACCGGAGCCCGAUUGACGCUGAGGCACGAAAGCGUGGGUAUCGAACAGGAUUAGAUACCCUUGUAGUC